rnacentral:misc_RNA from 1 species
ACAAACUUGGUCAUUUAGAGGAAGUAAAAGUCGUAACAAGGUCUCCGUAGGUGAACCUGCGGAGGGAUCAUUACCGAGUGAGGGCCCCGGGCCCGACCUCCAACCCAUUGUGGAUCAAUACUUGUUGCCUCGGGGGUGACCCGGACGCCGACGCGUCGGGGGCCCCCGGUGGACCAUCCUAACUCUGUGUCUGUACGUCGGAGUCUCAAGUAAAUCAAUUAAAACUUUCAACAACGGAUCUCUUGGUUCUGGCAUCGAUGAAGAACGCAGC